UGUAGAGUGAUAUCUUUUAUCAUUUAUCCUCUGGCCACACACUUCUUGGGUCCGCGAUGCUGUUCCUGGCUCCUGAGUACACCACCAGGUUUCCUAAGUUUCCACAGGGCACAGAGAAGUUGUGACCACUGUGAUGUCACUUCCUGGUUGACAUCAGUGACAGAACCCUCUUGGAUACCAGGGGGCCUCUAUCUCUACACGGGAGGUCUCACUAGUCACAUGUUUUGCCUGCUACCUCCAAGAGCCCAAAGGUACAGAUCUCAGAGGCCAAGACUCAAAGCAGGUUUUUCUCUUUUCCUAUAGCCAAGGAGUCAAGGAUUUUCUUGGUGGGAUUGUGAACUGGACUGGGCAGAAUUUGAUCAGAAAUAUGCUUUUGUGUGUGCCCGCACAUGUAUGUAGGUGCACACACACAAGCGCUCCUGUGUGUGUGUGUGUGUGUGUGUGUGUGUGUGUGUUUCUACAAGAUCAAAACUAUCUUUACACAAUCACCUAGAUGAGGACCUAGCACCUGGCUUGUGAAGGCACCAGCAGAGACCGUGUGCAAGUGGCCAAAUUGGGAUUUGGUUUUGAAGCUGGAAGAUGCUGCGGGUCUUCCUUCCAUCCAGUAUGGUGUAUGCAGCCCAGCCACUAGCGGCAGAACCACAUAAAAAUCUUUGUGGGGAACAGUGAGUUAGAAUGAGGAAGGCGAAGAAAUGGCCCAGCAUGGGGGAAUUCGUUUAUUUUUUUUAUAUUUCCCCUAGAAGAGAAUCUUUUGACUUCCCACAAAGAAGAAGAAGAAGAAAAAAAUAAACCAACAACAGCCCUGCCCUUUGUUGGAGGUGACCUGUUCCCUUCCUGCUGUAAGCUGUCUGAGACCUUGAUUAAAUCCAUCACUCACAGCUGAGAAGGAAAGGGUGGGAAGGCCUAGAAAUGGCCGAGGCCCCUGGGAGACACUUGAACUCAGGAUCUGUUUAAUAGCUCUUGGCAUGAAAAGCGAACAAGAGUCUCUCAGAGAUCAAAGGAGUUUUAUCUCAGUGGAGAAAUCUGCUCCUUCACUCAGUUAAUAUCUGAGCCAAAAAUACCCGGAGAAUAGAAAAGGAAGGGUUGCCCGUUUCUGUCUGUGUGGCUAAGCGCACUGUUUACUUUCCUCAGGUGAGGUUUGGAGUGCUCUAGGAACUUCUGUCUUUUCAUGACUAAAAGCAUGAAUUAGCUGCUGGCCCAUUCACAGCUACGGAACGUGCCAUUGGCCGAAGGUUCUCCGGAUCAUUUACUCUUCAACUUCUGAAGGUGUACUCCCACUGAGUACACCUAGUUUCAACACUUGAGAGGCAGAGGCAGGAUAGAAAGGAGGAUAGAAAGUUCAUUGCCAGCCUGGAAGAUAGAGCAAAAAACCCUACACUGCUGAUAACUGUGUACUGGAUAGUGCCCCGCCCCCAGUUCAUCUCCAUCACGAAUGGCCGAACACCAGUAGCCAUUGGCCGAAAGCCAAGUAGAGACCUAGGGAGAGGUCCACAGGCAGCCUUGAGAGGUGGGGGGCUGGGGAUUCUUCAGGCCUUAGGCUGAGAAAGGCUGAGCCAUGGAUGCAAGGAGAGAUGUUCAGGGUUCAAAUGUAAAUUGUCCCCAGCUUAUCUCUAGCUGGUGGCACUGAUCCGAUUCAUGGAGCCUUUAAAAGAUGAUGCUGCAUAAGGCCACAGGGACAGGAACUGGAGGAGGGGGUAUCACUGAAACGCCAACAGCUGUGCUAACAGAGACACCAAGGUGCAGAUUAAAGCUAAGCCUCUGUUGACUAUUUUCCCUUGCGGUAUCAUUAAAUAUUUUUUUUUUAAUUUGAAAUCAUUAAAACUGAGUUUUUCCAUUUCAGUCCUAUCAUUCCAGGGGUCCAGGUGCUGAAUUGGCUUAAUCAUAACCCUUGUUCUCAAAUACACCCUUUCCCUGUACCUCAAGUAACUCACUUGAAUUUAUACAAUUAUUUAAUUAGUUAUCUUUAAAAAUAAACAUAAUUUGCACCUGCGACCCGAUCGGGGCAAUCCAUCUCCCUGACCUCAAUUUUCUGAGUAGUGUUUGCCUGUACAGAUUUUAAAUGUAGUUAGUUAUGUAAUAUGGGUGGAUUUCUGCUUUGUUUUUUACACCACGGCUGUCUCAGAAACAUCUUUAAUUCCCAGGCAGAGCUGUUGGGUGCUCCAAACCAGAGAGUCCAUCCUUAUUGUCCUCAGUGGAUCCUCUUCCUUGUUCACCAAUUCCUGUCCUUUGAUAAUCUUUUUUUACUUUCUCCAAAACGAAACUUUCCCCUGAACUGAUAGGAACAGAGCCAGGCAUCACUGCGUUUCCAUGUGUUAAAAUAUACUAAAAGGACAACUGACUCAGGUAACAGAUUCCUCUGUUCGAGCCAGGAAUGUUUACUAAGUGUUUAGGAAUCCAGAUCACGGCACCUCAUGCUCAAGUACCAGGUGAUAAAACAUAAAGAGAAAAAUGACAAAAAUAUCAAGACACCAGCAAGUUAACAUAUUCACAGACAGGCACGCACAUAUGUACAUAUAUCUAUCCUUACAUACAAGCAUAUGCACACCCAUAUGCACACAUACACACACAUGCACAAACACAUACAAAAACACACAAGCACAUGCACACACAUGGUACACAGCACACACAAGCACAGGCACACAAGGCAUGCACAUGCACACAUACACACAACAUAUUUGUAGAUGGUUUGGGAUGAGGGCACAGCAUGUUUGUUCAUCUAUACAUACAGGAAAUGACUCCUAAGGGCAAGUUAGAUGCCAGCUUGAGGUUGAGCUUUUGAAACUUGGGGAUGAACACAUCCCCUCAUGGGGUCUUAGACCUAAAUCCUACAUAGCAAUCAAAAGCAAGAUAUUUGGAAAAGAAACUGAACUUGACUAGAGUUUGAAGACAUGUCCCUCAGAGGACUGAUUUUGGUGUUUUCUCUUUGGUCUUGUUGGACCCCAGUGACUCAUCAUUAGCCAUCGAGAUGACUCUAGAGACUCUCUGGGCGUCUGGAAAAUAGAUGUCCUGGAAGCCUGGGUGUUUGCUUUCUCCCGGGUCUUUACGUGGAACCAACAUAUUGGCAAGCUGCCUGUCAGAAACCAUUUUAUGUACUUAAAUGAUAAGUAAAAACAACCCCCUCCCCUGAAGCCAUCUGACUUGCCAAAGGCUAUUGUGUAAGAACAACAAGGGUCAUUAUGUGCUCUGUGGCUGAUGACAUCAGUGCGACUUCAAGAAUUAAUUACAUUCUUAAUUAUAGCUGUGUAUCAAAUUAGGGACUGGCAUCCAUAACAUAAUUGAAAUCCUGCUGAGUCCACGUCUGUUGCCAGCUAAUUGCAUGCCAUUUAAAAAAAAAAAAAAAAAACCUAAACCUAAACUUUAAGUAAUAUUAAAAAAAAAAAAAACAGUAUUUCAUUUGUUUCAGCUUUAGUUAAUUGACAAGCCAAACUUAAUCGGGGUUUUAUCAAUAGAUGGGACAUAUUCUGAUGACUGAGAGGUAAACUGUGAGCUAUAUAACAGGCCAGGAUCUUAGGAUGCAGUAUCAGGAAGGUGCUUGGGCAUGGAUGGGAAUAGAAGGGCUUGGUGGUCCUGGAUACAGGGUGGCUUGAUUGGGAAACUGCUUGCUGUGCAAAGACAGGGGCUUGAGUUCCAUCCCUGGGACCUUGUCAAAAAGCUACAUAUAGUAGACACAUGCUUAUGAGAUCCCAGAACACACUGGCUAUUCAGCCUAGCCGAGUCUAUGAGCCAGAGGGCCAAUGUUUCAAAAAACAGGGUAGAUAACAUCUUGAAAGUCUACCUUUGUGACAGAGGGUACAACACCCAAGUGAGGGGAAAUUAAUAUACUAUUGGUUCUGUAAGAAUCUACGCCAGCUCUGAUGUUCUAGUCUUCAUAGAUCAAUCCUCCUCAAUGGUCAUCCAUGGAAGCUGUCUUCUGCCUUUCUGAAGGACUUGUAGAGAAGUGAUUAAGAUGAGAGACUGCCACAAGCCAGGAAGAGCUGGGAGCUCCUUCUGACCCUCUGGGACUUACUAACUGGAAUGGUCUAAUAACAUCAUAUGAUUGUAAGACCAGCGCUACGGAGGUGAUGUGACAUCCACCAGCCCCUCUCUGAGGUUGGUCCCCUGGAAACUAGGUCCCCAUGUUAUGAGAAGGUCAUUUCACGGGCAGAGAUCACAGGCGUGUGGCCUCCAUCCAUCUGAAAAUGGAGUCCCUGAAUUGAGAACGAAUAAACCUAAGGUCUCCUGCUUAGGGUUUGCACUGCCUCACACAGAUGCUGUGGCUGAGUCCUGCCCAGAUUACAGAUUCAUGAGCAAAAUAAACAUUUUUAAACCAGGAACCUUUGGAGUGGCUACUAACACUGUAGCAUGUGGUUGGGCCAACCUGAGCAGUGCAUUUGGGGACAGCAAGCUUACCCCAUGCCGUGAUGUUACUAGAGCGCAUCUGAUGGUGUGUUCCAUGUGGCACAAGGAUGACCACUUCUGUGCUCACCCUUCAGAAAACCUCACUUCCAGGACUCAGGAAGUCCAAUAACGUCAAGAUAUCAGGACCAAACCUCCACACCAGAAGACCCUUUGCUAAAUCUGAUGGACCAUGCUUCAAUUAAUAUGAACACCUAUUUGUUUAUGCUUUUGAUAAAAUACGGUUUUUCCUUGGCUUUUUUUUUCUUUUUCUGUUUCCCCAUAGAGUCUUGGGCCUACUGACUAGGAGGAAACAUUCCUGCUAAAAUAAAAAUAAAAGUGGAAUGGCUUCAUCCAUACUACUUCUGAUUUCAAGUGGAUUCUCAAUGAGUCCUGCCUCUGUGAGUUUCCUAUCAGGAGAGAUGGUGUUGUCGGACAAACGAGCUAAGCCACUGGCAGCCACCUUUAAGGGGAGCUGGCUCAGAAGAAAAAAAUAAAGAAAAUGCAAAAUUUAUGUGUCAGCUCCAAGAGAAACAUCUCUGUGGUGUCCUGGCCCCACACAGAGAAAAUGAAAGAGGAAUCAGAAGACUGUCCAUUGAGAGCAGCUAAGCUUGCUGCGCCUGGCCUGAUUGGACACACGGAAGAUAGUGUUGGGUCGUCCACCAAAAGUUGGCCUGGAGCCACUGUACACAGCGCCGAGAGCCCCUCUGGCCUGGAAGGAGAGUGUCAGGCGUGACAAAAGAGGAAUCUGAGCCUAAGAAUAUUCACAGAUUGCAGACCCAGAAGGAAGUAGGAAGUUCAUAUUCUCUUUAUAGCCUCGCUCGCUGGGGGACUGGCUUGUCUUUUAUUGUUAAUAUAAAAAUCAAUAUAGCAGGA